rnacentral:rRNA from 1 species
UACGUAGGGAGCAAGCGUUGUCCGGAUUCACUGGGUGUAAAGGGUGCGCAGGCGGGCGAGUAAGUCAGAGGUGAAAUCUCACAGCUUAACUGUGAAACUGCCUUUGAUACUGCUUUUCUUGAGUUCGGGAGAGGUUGAUGGAAUUCCAGGUGUAGCGGUGAAAUGCGUAGAUAUCUGGAAGAACACCAGUGGCGAAGGCGGUCAACUGGCCCGUAACUGACGCUCAGGCACGAAAGCGUGGGUAGCGAACAGG